rnacentral:tRNA from 1 species
UGGGCGGUAGCAUAAAGGUAAUGCGCUCGGCUGUUAACCGAAGGAUUGGUGGUUCGAAUCCACCCCGCCCAG